rfam:Brachypodium distachyon strain Bd21 chromosome 3, whole genome shotgun sequence.
CAUGUACUCCCUCCGAUCCAUAUUAAUUGUCGAAAUAUUACAUGUCUCUAGACGCUUUUUAGGCAUAGAUACAUUUAUAUUUUGAUAAAUUUGAAACAAUUAAUAUGGAUCGGAGGGAGUAACUU